AACGCUGGCGGCGUGCUUAACACAUGCAAGUCGAACGAACCUUCGGGUUAGUGGCGGACGGGUGAGUAACGCGUGAGAAUCUGCCCUCAGGAGGGGGAUAACAGCUGGAAACGGCUGCUAAUACCCCAUAUGCCGCGAGGUGAAAUGAAUUUCGCCUGAGGAUGAGCUCGCGUCUGAUUAGCUAGUUGGUGUGGGUAAUGGCUCACCAAGGCAUCGAUCAGUAGCUGGUCUGAGAGGAUGAUCAGCCACACUGGGACUGAGACACGGCCCAGACUCCUACGGGAGGCAGCAGUGGGGAAUUUUCCGCAAUGGGCGAAAGCCUGACGGAGCAACGCCGCGUGAGGGAUGAAGGCCUCUGGGCUGUAAACCUCUUUUAUCAAGGAAGAAGAUCUGACGGUACUUGAUGAAUAAGCCACGGCUAA
rnacentral:rRNA from 1 species